UCUAAUAUGGCAGAUUAGUGCAAUGAAUUUAAGCUUCAUAUAUAAAGAUAAUUGAUCUUUUAUUAGAA
rnacentral:tRNA from 2 species